GAUGAACGCUGGCGGCGUGCCUAAUACAUGCAAGUCGAGCGAACAGACGCGGCGCUUGCUCCUCUGACGUUAGCGGCGCACGUGUGAGUAACACGUGUAUAACCUACCUAUCAGUCUGAUAUAACUUCGGGAAACCGGCUCUAAUACCGGAUAACCUGCUGAACCGCAGGGUUCAACAGUGAAAGACGGUCUUGCGGUCACUUAUAGAUGGUUCCGCGCUGCAUUAGAUGGUUGUGACGGUAACGGCUUACCAAGGCAACGAUGCGUAGCCGACGUGAGAGAGUGAUCGGCGACAUUGGAACGGAGACACGGACCAGAGGCCUGAGAGAGGCAGCAGAAGGGAACGUGACGCAGUGGGCGAAAGCAUGACGGAACAGGCGGAAGUGUGUGACGAAGGUCCUGGGAGCGUAAUACCCUGUUAUGAGGGAAGAACAGCUGUGGACGGAACCAUGCACGGAGUGACGGUAACGAGUCAGAAAGCACCGGCUAACUACGUG
rnacentral:rRNA from 1 species